GGACGAACGCUGGCGGCGUGCUUAACACAUGCAAGUCGAACGGAAAGGCCUCUUUCGGGGGGUACUCGAGUGGCGAACGGGUGAGUAACACGUGAGUAACCUGCCCUUGACUUUGGGAUAACUUCAGGAAACUGGGGCUAAUACCGGAUAGGAGCUCCUGCUGCAUGGUGGGGGUUGGAAAGUUUCGGCGGUUGGGGAUGGACUCGCGGCUUAUCAGCUUGUUGGUGGGGUAGUGGCUUACCAAGGCUUUGACGGGUAGCCGGCCUGAGAGGGUGACCGGCCACAUUGGGACUGGGAUACGGCCCAGACUCCUACGGGAGGCAGCAGUGGGGAAUAUUGCACAAUGGGUGGAAGCCUGAUGCAGCAACGCCGUGUGCGGGAUGACGGCCUUCGGGUUGUAAACCGCUUUCGCUCAUGACGAAGCUUUGUGUGACGGUAGUGGGUAAAGAAGCACCGGCUAACUACGUG
rnacentral:rRNA from 1 species